GGCAAGAUGGCCGAGUUGGUUAUGGCGUGAGGUUAAGGUCACCUUAGCACAAUUUCCUCAUGGAGCAAUCCGCGUGGGUUCAAGUCCCACUCUUGUCA
rfam:Rosellinia necatrix DNA, scaffold: Contig3, strain: W97.